AUUGAACGCUGGCGGAAUGCUUUACACAUGCAAGUCGAACGGCAGCACGGACUUCGGUCUGGUGGCGAGUGGCGAACGGGUGAGUAAUGUAUCGGAACGUGCCCAGUCGUGGGGGAUAACGUAGUGAAAAUUACGCGAAUACCGCAUACGAUCUAUGGAUGAAAGCGAGGGAUCGCAAGACCUCGCGCAAUGGCAGCGGCCGAUAUCAGAUUAGGUAGUUGGUGGGGUAAAGGCCCACCAAGCCGACGAUCUGUAGCUGGUCUGAGAGGACGACCAGCCACACUGGAACUGAGACACGGUCCAGACUCCUACGGGAGGCAGCAGUGGGGAAUUUUGGACAAUGGGCGAAAGCCUGAUCCAGCCAUUCCGCGUGCAGGAUGAAGGCCCUCGGGUUGUAAACUACUUUUGUACAGAACGAAAAGGUUUCUACUAAUACUAGGAGCUCAUGACGGUACUGUAAGAAUAAGCACCGGCUAACUACGUGCCAGCCGCCGCGGUAA
rnacentral:rRNA from 1 species